GACGAACGCUGGCGGCGUGCUUAACACAUGCCAGUCGAACGGAAAGGCCCUGCUUUUGUGGGGUGCUCGAGUGGCGAACGGGUGAGUAACACGUGAGUAACCUGCCCUUGACUUUGGGAUAACUUCAGGAAACUGGGGCUAAUACCGGAUAGGAUCUCCUGCUGCAUGGUGGGGGUUGGAUAUUUUCGGCGGGUGGGGAUGGACUGGCGGCUUAUCAGCUUGUUGGUGGGGUAGUGGCUUACCAAGGCUUUGACGGGUAGCCGGCCUGAGAGGGUGACCGGCCACAAUGGGACUAAGAGACGGCCCAGACGCCUAUGGGAGGCAGUGGUGGGGAAUAUUGCACAAUGGGCGGAAGCCUGAUGCAGCAGCGCCGGGUGCGGGAUGACGGCCUUCGGGUUGUAAACCGCUUUCGCCUGUGACGAAGCGUGAGUGACGGUAAUGGGUAAAGAAGCACCGGCUAACUACGUG
rnacentral:rRNA from 1 species